GACGUAAAGUUACGACUAAUACCGCAUAUUCUGUGAGCAGGAAAGAGGGGGAUCGUAAGACCUCUCGCUUUCGGAGCGGCCGAUGUCAGAUUAGCUAGUUGGUAGGGUAAAAGCCUACCAAGGCAACGAUCUGUAGCGGGUCUGAGAGGAUGAUCCGCCACACUGGGACUGAGACACGGCCCAGACUCCUACGGGAGGCAGCAGUGGGGAAUUUUGGACAAUGGGGGCAACCCUGAUCCAGCCAUGCCGCGUGAGUGAAGAAGGCCUUCGGGUUGUAAAGCUCUUUCAGCCGGGAAGAAAUCGCAUCUCCUAAUACGGGGUGCGGAUGACGGUACCGGAAUAAGAAGCACCGGCUAACUACGUG
rnacentral:rRNA from 1 species